CUCCCCCACCCAAAACCCGCCCCAUCCCCGUGUCAAAACCUCCGAGCUCGCCACAGCGAUCGCCAGCUCGCCACGCCCACGCCCGCGCCGGCGACCACGCCCUGCCCGCGGAGCUGACCGAUGGAGGACGUACUGGACUCGGCGGUGGGGGCCCACUUCAGCGGCCUCCGCCGCGACUUGCGCCGCCUCUCCUCCUCCUCCUCCCUCCCCUCCUCGCCCUCCUCCGCCACCUGCAACGGCGCGGCCGACGCGCCCAGCGGGCUCGCAUCCCCCGCGCCCAGGCAGCCGUUCGUGAUCGGGGUGUGCGGCGGAACGGCGUCGGGGAAGACGACGGUGUGCGACAUGAUCAUCCAGCAGCUGCACGACCACCGCGUCGUGCUCGUCAACCAGGAUUCGUUCUACCGCGGUUUAACUGAGGAGGAAUCUGAACAUGUGGAAGAGUACAACUUUGAUCACCCUGAUGCAUUUGAUACUGAUCAACUUCUGGAGUGCAUGGGAAAACUAAAGAGUGGACAGUCUGUUAAUAUUCCGAUAUAUGAUUUCAAGAAUCAUCGACGAUGCUCUGAGAGCUUUAGAAAGGUCAAUGUAUCAGAUGUCAUCAUUCUGGAGGGCAUUUUGGUUUUUCAUGAUCAAAGGGUGCGUGACUUGAUGGACAUGAAAAUUUUCGUUGACACAGAUGCUGAUAUUAGGCUUGCUCGAAGAAUAAGGCGUGAUACAGUUGAAAGAGGUAGAGAUGUUCUCUCAGUGCUUGAGCAGUACGGGAGGUUUGUGAAGCCCGCCUUUGAUGAUUUUAUCCUGCCUUCCAAGAAGUAUGCUGAUGUGAUCAUACCACGAGGAGGAGAUAACCAUGUUGCCAUUGAUUUAAUUGCGCAACAUAUUCGUACAAAACUUGGACAGCACGACUUAUGCAAAUUAUAUCCAAAUGUUUGUGUAGUUCAGACAACUUUCCAGAUACGGGGAAUGCAUACCCUCAUUCGUGACCGGGAUAUUACGACUCCUGAUUUUGUCUUCUAUUCAGAUCGGCUGAUUCGUUUGGUUGUUGAGCAUGGUCUGGGGAAUUUGCCAUUUACAGAGAAGCAGGUCGUUACACCUACAGGAUCUAUUUAUUCAGGAGUUGAUUUCUGCAAGAAGCUCUGUGGAGUGUCGAUUGUUCGAAGUGGUGAAAGCAUGGAGAAUGCUUUGCGUGCUUGUUGUAAGGGGAUAAAAAUAGGUAAAAUCCUAAUACAUCGUGUUGGAGACAACGGACAACAACUCAUAUACAACAAGCUGCCCAGUGAUAUUGCUGAACGGCAUGUUCUACUUAUGGAUCCUGUGCUCGGUACUGGUAACUCAGCAAAUCAAGCUAUACAGCUUCUUAGAAGUACAGGAGUUCCAGAGGACCACAUCAUGUUUCUUAAUCUUAUCUCGGCUCCUGAAGGAAUCCAUUGUGUCUGCAAGCGAUUCCCUGAUGUGAAGAUCGUAACAUCGGAGAUCGACGCCGGAUUGAACCAGGAUUACCGUGUCGUGCCAGGGCUGGGUGAAUACGGCGAUCGCUACUUCGGCACUGACUAAUCGGCUCACGAUGCCGCUUCCAUUUGGCGGCGAAGCGAUAGACGGGGUAGAGCUAACAGGAGAUAUACUGGUGUUUGGUUGUUGUAUACCGGCAGAGUGGAGCGGAGGCAUCACUCUGGCAACCAUUGGAGGUACCAACAAGGACACAUGAUGACGUGCAUUAUCAUAAUUCAUAUGGCUAAGCUAGACACUUUGAGCUUUAUGUUCAUGUGACGAGCUUUGCCUUUUUGUGUGUGAGUUUUGAGGCCCUUGGCAUGAUAAUAACUUGCUCCUCAGCAGUUAUAAUGGCUUCAGAAAUGUAUAGCUUGCCUUGGAUUGUGGGCUCGUGGCAGAUAGAUGUCGUACUAUUGCCUCGACCUUUUUUCGACAAA
rnacentral:rRNA from 1 species